GGAGGAGUAAUCAAGCCUGGCCAAAGAUGCAGGACUUAAGAUCCUGUCUCUCAGGAGUUCGUGGGUUCAAAUCCCUCCUCCUCCA
rnacentral:tRNA from 1 species